rnacentral:rRNA from 1 species
UGGGGAAUAUUGGACAAUGGGCGCAAGCCUGAUCCAGCCAUGCCGCGUGAGUGAUGAAGGCCUUAGGGUUGUAAAGCUCUUUCGCCGACGAAGAUAAUGACGGUAGUCGGAGAAGAAGCCCCGGCUAACUUCGUGCCAGCAGCCGCGGUAAUACGAAGGGGGCUAGCGUUGUUCGGAAUCACUGGGCGUAAAGCGCACGUAGGCGGAUUGUUAAGUCAGGGGUGAAAGCCUGGAGCUCAACUCCAGAACUGCCCUUGAUACUGGCAAUCUCGAGUCCGGAAGAGGUAAGUGGAACUGCGAGUGUAGAGGUGAAAUCCGUAGAUAUUCGCAAGAACACCAGUGGCGAAGGCGGCUUACUGGUCCGGUACUGACGCUGAGGUGCGAAAGCGUGGGGAGCAAAACAGGAUUAGAUACCCUGGUAGUCCACGCCGUAAAACGAUGGAGGCUAGCCGUUGGCGAGCAUGCUCGUCAGUGGCGCAGCUAACGCAUUAAGCCUCCCGCCUGGGGGAGUACGGUCGCAAGAUUAAAACUUAAAGGAAUUGACGGGGUCAUAGCUGUUUCCU